GGGAAUCUACCGAGCCCUGCGGAAUAGCUCCGGGAAACUGGAAUUAAUACCGCAUACGCCCUACGGGGGAAAGAUUUAUCGGGGUUUGAUGAGCCCGCGUUGGAUUAGCUAGUUGGUGGGGUAAAGGCCUACCAAGGCGACGAUCCAUAGCUGGUCUGAGAGGAUGAUCAGCCACAUUGGGACUGAGACACGGCCCAAACUCCUACGGGAGGCAGCAGUGGGGAAUAUUGGACAAUGGGCGCAAGCCUGAUCCAGCCAUGCCGCGUGAGUGAUGAAGGCCCUAGGGUUGUAAAGCUCUUUCAACGGUGAAGAUAAUGACGGUAACCGUAGAAGAAGCCCCGGCUAACUUCGUGCCAGCAGCCGCGGUAAUACGAAGGGGGCUAGCGUUGUUCGGAAUUACUGGGCGUAAAGCGCACGUAGGCGGAUAUUUAAGUCAGGGGUGAAAUCCCGGGGCUCAACCUCGGAACUGCCUUUGAUACUGGGUAUCUUGAGUAUGGAAGAGGUAAGUGGAAUUGCGAGU
rnacentral:rRNA from 1 species